rnacentral:rRNA from 1 species
UUUGUUGGUGGGGUAAUGGCCUACCAAGACGAUGAUGUGUAGCUGGACUGAGAGGUCGAACAGCCACAUUGGGACUGAGACACGGCCCAAACUCCUACGGGAGGCAGCAGUAGGGAAUUUUCGGCAAUGGAGGAAACUCUGACCGAGCAACGCCGCGUGAACGAUGAAGUAUUUCGGUAUGUAAAGUUCUUUUAUUGAAGAAGAAAAAAUAGUGGAAAAACUAUCUUGACGUUAUUCAAUGAAUAAGCCCCGGCUAACUAUGUGCCAGCAGCCGCGGUAAGACAUAGGGGGCGAGCGUUAUCCGGAAUUAUUGGGCGUAAAGGGUGCGUAGGCGGUUAGGAAAGUCUAUAAUUUAAUUUCAGUGCUUAACGCUGUCUUGUUAUAGAAACUACCUUGACUAGAGUUAGAUAGAGGCAAGCGGAAUUCCAUGUGUAGCGGUAAAAUGUGUAAAUAUAUGGAGGAACACCAGAAGCGUAGGCGGCUUGCUGGGUCUUGACUGACGCUGAGGCACGAAAGCGUGGGUAGCAAACAGGAUUAGAUACCCUGGUAGUCCACGCCGUAAACGAUGAGUACUAAGUGUCGGGAUAAAACUCGGUACUGAAGUUAACACAUUAAGUACUCCGCCUGAGUAGUACGUACGCAAGUAUGAAACUUAAAGGAAUUGACGGGACUCCGCACAAGCGGUGGAUCAUGUUGUUUAAUUCGAAGAUACACGAAAAAUCUUACCAGGUCUUGACAUGCUCUGCAAAGCUAUAGAAAUAUAGUGGAGGUUAUCAGGGACACAGGUGGUGCAUGGUUGUCGUCAGUUCGUGUCGUGAGAUGUUAGGUUAAGUCCUAAAACGAGCGCAACCCUUGUCGUUAGUUACCAGCACGUAAUGGUGGGCACUUUAACGAGACUGCCAAUUAAACAUUGGAGGAAGGUGAGGAUUACGUCAAAUCAUCAUGCCCCUUAUGAUCUGGGCUACAAACGUGAUACAAUGGCUGUUACAAAGAGUAGCUGAAGCGCGAGUUUUUAGCCAAUCUCAAAAAAGCAG